rnacentral:rRNA from 1 species
CAGUCGCCACGGUAAUACCGAGGGUGCAAGCGUUAAUCGGAAUUACUGGGCGUAAAGCGCGCGUAGGUGGUUUGUUAAGUUGGAUGUGAAAUCCCCGGGCUCAACCUGGGAACUGCAUCCAAAACUGGCAAGCUAGAGUAUGGUAGAGGGUGGUGGAAUUUCCUGUGUAGCGGUGAAAUGCGUAGAUAUAGGAAGGAACACCAGUGGCGAAGGCGACCACCUGGACUGAUACUGACACUGAGGUGCGAAAGCGUGGGGAGCAAACAGGAUUAGAUACCCCCGUAGUCCCUGUCUCUUAUAA